UACGUAGGGGGGCAGGCGUUGUCCGGAAUCAUUGGGCGUAAAGGGCGCGUAGGCGGCGCGGUAAGUCACUUGUGAAAUCUCUGAGCUUAACUCAGAACGGCCAAGUGAUACUGCAGUGCUAGAGUGUGGAAGGGGCAAUCGGAAUUCUUGGUGUAGCGGUGAAAUGCGUAGAUAUCAAGAGGAACACCUGAGGUGAAGACGGGUUGCUGGGCCAACACGUGACGCUGAGGCGCGAAAGCCAGGGGAGCAAACGGG
rnacentral:rRNA from 1 species